CUAAGGGUGGUCCCUGUGGGCCGUGAGCCACCCUAAGUUUCGGCCCAAACUCCAUUAGCGAUUCAUUUUUCAGCCACGAACUCAGCUACUAGGCUAUGGCUUGUCUUCCUGUUAGCUUGUAUAUGACGCUCCGCGCAAAGGCUGUAGUCAUCCCUUCAUGAGUCGAACUAGCCACGUCUCUGUUAGCAUAUUAUGUGUUUACAUUAGUUUUAGUAUCCUAAAGAUCUUAUUUCAGUUUCACACCUCUUCAUAUCCCAUGUAAUCUCUAUAUAUAUCUCUCCAAAUAAUUAAUGGAAAUUGAGUUGAGUUAUCCACCAAUUAUUCUCUAAUAGUCUCUUCUCACACGAUGCCUGGAUGGUCUCUGCAGUGCUUCGCCACAGCCCACAGCCGCCGCGCCGCAUCCGGCCGGACGUCCGAGUAGCACGCUAGCAGAUUUGUUGAAAAAUUAAGAGGAUUGGUAAUAUUGUCUCCUUUUUCCAAAAAUAUGAAUCAAAGAAGAAGGCUUAUUCUCAAUCUGCAUCCGCGGCUGUAACUGUUCCAGGAGAGCAAAUUAAAGAACAAGAUGGGACAAAUCAAAUUGAAGAACAAGAAGAUGCACCAAAUCAAGAUAGAGUGGUUGAAGAAAAUGUAACUCCAACCCCAAUGCCUCCAAGUCCACCUCCGGUUGCCCACAAAGAACCAAUUUAUGAUAUUAGUCGGCUUCCACUUGAUCCGGUGGAAAGACAACACAUUGCAAAUUAUCCCAUCAAUGAUCAAGUGCAGUUCGACGAUCAAAUAUUAUUAAAGGCCCAUUCUAACCUUAUGCACAUGAAUUUGAAAGUAGAAAAAUUGGUAAUAGGGAUUGGCAAUUCAUUCCAUAUGGUUUUAUAAAUUUCCUUGGAUUGAAUAUAAUGUCAAGAAUGAAGCAGCAUUUUGCUUUGUGUGCUACUUGUUUGGAAGGAGAAAAAGUAAGAAAUUAGCAUUUGUUGAAGGUGGUUGGAGAAAUUGAAAUAGAAAUAAUGCACUUGAUUUA